AGGUCAGUAGCUCCAAUGGUAGAGCGCCGGAUUCCAAAUCCGAUGGUUACGGGUUCGAGUCCUGUCUGGCCUGCCA
rnacentral:tRNA from 4 species